GCUUGUUUACAACCAGCUCCACGGAGAAUCCAAUCCCUUCGUUGUAGACUGAGAACAUAUCUGUUGAAUUUGAUGCCUAGAAUUAUAUUAAAACAUACUUCAUUUUCAAGGACCACGAAAUGAAAAUAUUGAACGUGGAAGAAAUUGUUUCAUGAGCUGUGAACAGAGGCUGGGCCCAGCGUGGCCUCGGCCAUCCGACGGGGCCUCAGCCCGUAAUUGGAGUUCCCCAGAUUCCUCCGAUCUCUGCAGAGAAGAGGACUGGUGUCUGGCCAAGAUAAAUACAGGACGAAGCAGGCUCAGCUCUCUCAUUAACUGGGCUGUUUUCCUUCAAUGGGGCUUGAGAACAGAGCUUUGCGCUAGAAUUUCCUGUUUCGCUUUCCUUUCAUCUGGGAGUCUCCUCGACCGUGUGUCUUCCAUUUACAUCGCGACGCUCCUCCCGUGAAGCCUGGGCUCUACACCCUCCCGAGGCCGAGGAGCUAGAGGGUGAGCGUUGUUCUCAUUGGCGUGUAGUUGACGUACAGUGUUAGGCCCAGCCUGGAAUGGAGCCCUGAGCCCCAGCGAGUUAACCCGUCCUGGUCACAUUCCGUUCCCAGGCUGCGAUGAGGUGGUCUGGGAAGCGUUCUGGCUGGGAGAGAUCACAUUGCUCAACCCAACCAAAGAGGAAUGCGGUUUCCGGAAGGUUCCAGCAAGUACAUGGGAAUGGCACUCUGAAGGCCCGGGCUGGAGGCGUUUCCCUUGUGAGAAGCACUUCCAAUCCCCCACGGAGCCCGGCUUGACAGCAGGCCUGCCAUUAUCAUCACAGAGGGGAAGCAAUCAUUCACGCGCACGCUGCUGCAAUUUGGGUGUUUAUGUGCCCCGCCCACGCUGCAACCCUGAGGCCACGCGGUUUAAAACGGAGCCCCCCGGGAGAGAGGGGGCCUCGGUCAAAGCCGCUCGGCGAUUUCUGCCCAGCCUCUCUGAGGGUGAGGAAUAGUGACUUUUUAAGUGAUUUGAGACCCUUCUUAAAAGUUGGCCUCUUUCUCCCUAUAUGCAAUAUAUAGCCUCAAACGUUUAACAAAAUUUUCCCCUUUUGACCACAAGAUAGAGUUCCAGACGUGGGCAAAGGACUCACGUAAUAAGAGCUCAUGGUUGGGGGGAACUUAAUACAGUAAUCGUGUGUUCAGGAAAAUUUUCUGCAAUUGCAGCUCAUUUUUUUCCCUUGAGUGAAUCUGCUUUAUUUAGAACAGCCGAGGCUCUAGCAGCCCCGGAGCUCCCCUGCAGCCCGUGUGCCGGGGUUCCACGUGGCCCCACUUCCCAGCGGUCAUGGGUGGAACUCCCUACACACGGGUCCCGUGGUUCCCGUGCAGGGACAGGAUGAUUUCUUUCUAAUUGUGGUCAAACACACAUCACAGAAAACUUACAGUUUCUAAGUGCACGGCUCAGGGGCACUAAGUACAUUCACAUUGUUGUGCAACCGUCACCAACCUCCAUUCCCCAGAGCUUCUCAUCUUCCCAAACCGACCCUCUGUCCCCGGUAAACAUGAGCUCCCCCUCCUCCUUCUCCAGACCCUGGCACCCACCGUCUACUUUCUGUCUCUGUGAGUUUGUCUCUUCUAGAUAUUUCCUAUACAUGAAAUUACAAAAUAUUUGUGUCUUGUACAAAUAUCGGCUUAUUUCACCCAACAAAAUGUCUUCGAGCUGCAUCCAUGCCAUAGUACAUGUCAGGAUUUCAUUCCUUUUUAUGGCUGAAUAAUAGUCCAGCAAGUGUAUAUACCACAUUUUGUUUAUUCAUUCUGCAAACUUACUGGGAGUUUGAUAGAGAUUGCAUUGUAUACUUUGGGUAGAAUUGACAUAUUUUAUUUGACUUAUUAACAAUAAAUUGUUACUUUAAUAA